CCAACUUCUUUCCAUUCAAUCAUAUCUUCCCAUUCAGUCAUUGACUUAAAAACAUGCAAGUAUCGAAGAAAUUAUCACUGCACAAAAAAAAAAAAAAAAAAAAACUGCAAUGCAUUAUUUUUAGCUUUGAUUUGUUUAUUUUGUUUAACUUUUUCACCACUCAAUUUAAGUCUCAUUGAGAAAUUUUAAGCAGGUUAUGUGAAAACAAUGGAGUAGUGCAUCAUCAUGAAUGGGCCUCCGCAGCUCAGUGAGUUCAUUAGCUUUUGAACAACCAUUCGAUUAGCUUUGGAAAAGGUUGAAUAAGGCAGAGGACCUUGGUUUACAGUUAAACAGAGCCAUAGACCUUGGUGAGAAUAACAGUCAUAUACCAUAGGAUGAGAAAGGAAGAUUUACAAGCAGCAGCAGAUGGAAGGUCAGAAAAAUUGAAGAAGAGCUGUUAGUGGUAGAGCAAAGAUCAUAUUGUCAGUAUUGGCGGGUGGGUUUCUGCUGGCGUUCUCACAUCUCUAUGAGCAACUGAUAUUGAGGCCUAAAGGGCUAAGAUCAAAGCUCCAAAAGCAAGAAAUUAGAGGGCGUCCUCCGUCAUUCCUCUUGGGGAAUAUCCUUGCAUAACGCCUUCAAAGCAAGGUCCACUCAACAACAACAAAGACUACAGAUCCUUAAAAGUCUCAGCAUGAUGAUCGUAAUGUACCUUCUAUUUGUCACCAAUGACCUUCAAAAAUCUUCCCCCACGGAGUGAAGAAGUGAAUAUAAAACCUAUAAUCCGACUGCAUGAUUUUCUGAAUGGAGUUGGGGACAUUCGAGCACGGCACAAAAUUCUAUUGUAGAAUCACAAUCACCCUCAGUGCCCACAACAAUGUAGCUACUAGCAGUGGUGAAGAUCAGUUCUUGGACCAAUUGAAGAAGUUGAGAAGGGAAACUUGAUGUAUAAGCUUGAAGUGUUCUUGAACUCUUGCGUACUUCAUGGCUGGUAGGAGGCAAUUGCCACUCUACAAAGCAUGAAGGUGACGACCUUUCAGGUCAAUACACAAAUGACCCUUGGGGUUGUACGAAAUGUUAACCGAACAUGUGAAAGAUCUGUUUGAAAAUAAGGACUUCACUAAUUGAUUACUAUUAGUUGUUAAUUCACUUGGAAAGAAAUAACUUGAUAUUUGUUAUACAACCUAAAUGCAGUUAUACUAUUGGCAACAAA